rnacentral:miRNA from 1 species
UCGCUGAUGUUGGACAAAAGU